rnacentral:rRNA from 1 species
AGCGAACGCUGGCGGCAGGCUUAACACAUGCAAGUCGAACGGGCAUAGCAAUAUGUUAGUGGCAGACGGGUGAGUAACGCGUGGUAACGUACCUGUUGGUUCGGAACAACACAGGGAAACUUGUCCUCAUACCGGAUAAGCCCUUACGGGGUAAGAUUUAUCGCCGAAAGAUCGGCCCGCGUCUGAUUAGCUAGUUGGUAGGGUAAUGGCCUACCAAGGCGACGAUCAGUAGCUGGUCUGAGAGGAUGAUCAGCCACAUUGGGACUGAGACACGGCACAAACUCCUACGGGAGGCAGGAGUGGCGGAUAUUGGACAACGGGCUAAAGCAUGAUCCAGCCAUGCCGGGAAAGUUAUGAUGGUCGGAGAGUUGUAAAGCUCUUUUGUCCGGGAAGAUAAUGACGGUACCUAAAGAAUAAGCCCCGGCUAACUUCGUG